UUCCUUUUGUUUAWAUWUAAGGUAAAACCUGCCCACUGAUAAUAUUGAAGGGCCGCGGUAUCUUGACCGUGCAAAGGUAGCAUAAUCAUUAGCCUCUUAAUUAGAGGAUAGAAUGAAUGGUUUAACUGAAAUAAAUUUUAUUAGGCUUAAAUAUYUGAAAUUGGAUUAUAAGUGAAAAUACUUAUAUCUUUCUAUUAGACGAUAAGACCCUAUAGAUCUUUAUUAAUUCAUAAUAAUCCAAAUUUGGGGGGAUUAGUUUUAUUAUGAAUUAUUUUAGCUGGGGCAGUUGAAGAAUAAAAUAAACUUCUUUAWAUAAAGUUUUUAAAAUUUUUAAUCUUAAWUUUUAAAAUAUGAAAAAGUUACCUUAGGGAUAACAGCGUAAUCAAUUUAGAGAGCCCAUAUCGAUAAAUUGGAUUGCGACCUCGAUGUUGAAUUAAGAAUUCUAGUUAGGGCAGNNUUUAAYUAAGAUGGUUUGUUCAACCAUURAAAUCUYACA
rnacentral:rRNA from 1 species